rnacentral:rRNA from 1 species
UACAGAGGUCUCAAGCGUUGUUCGGAUUCAUUGGGCGUAAAGGGUGUGUAGGUGGCGCGCUAAGUCGGGUGUGAAAUUUCGGAGCUUAACUCCGAAACUGCAUUCGAUACUGGCGUGCUUGAGGACUGGAGAGGAGACUGGAAUUUACGGUGUAGCGGUGAAAUGCGUAGAUAUCGUAAGGAAGACCAGUGGCGAAGGCGGGUCUCUGGACAGUUCCUGACGCUGAGGCACGAAGGCCAGGGGAGCAAACGGG